rnacentral:rRNA from 1 species
AACAGGAUUAGAUACCCUGGUAGUCCACGCCGUAAACGUUGGGCGCUAGGUGUGGGGUUCCUUCCACGAACUCCGUGCCGCAGCUAACGCAUUAAGCGCCCCGCCUGGGGAGUACGGCCGCAAGGCUAAAACUCAAAGGAAUUGACGGGGGCCCGCACAAGCGGCGGAGCAUGCGGAUUAAUUCGAUGCAACGCGAAGAACCUUACCAAGGCUUGACAUGCACGGGAAAGUUCCAGAGAUGGUUCCCCCGCAAGGUCCGUGCACAGGUGGUGCAUGGUUGUCGUCAGCUCGUGUCGUGAGAUGUUGGGUUAAGUCCCGCAACGAGCGCAACCCUUGUCUUAUGUUGCCAGCGGGUUAUGCCGGGGACUCAUAAGAGACUGCCGGGGUCAACUCGGAGGAAGGUGGGGAUGACGUCAAAUCAUCAUGCCCCUUAUGUCUUGGGCUUCACGCAUGCUACAAUGGCCGGUACAAAGGGCUGCGAAACCGUGAGGUGGAGCGAAUCCCAAAAAGCCGGUCUCAGUUCGGAUUGGGGUCUGCAACUCGACCCCAUGAAGUCGGAGUCGCUAGUAAUCGCAGAUCAGCAACGCUGCGGUGAAUACGUUCCCGGGCCUUGUACACACCGCCCGUCACGUCACGAAAGUCGGUAACACCCGAAGCCAGUGGCCCAACCCGUUUACGGGAGGGAGCUGUCGAAGGUGGGAUCGGCGAUUGGGACGAAGUCGUAACAAGGUAACC